rnacentral:rRNA from 1 species
AUUCGCCCUUAGAGUUUGAUCCUGGCUCAGGAUGAACGCUAGCUACAGGCUUAACACAUGCAAGUCGAGGGGAAACGACAUCGAAAGCUUGCUUUUGAUGGGCGUCGACCGGCGCACGGGUGAGUAACGCGUAUCCAACCUGCCCACCACUUGGGGAUAACCUUGCGAAAGUAAGACUAAUACCCAAUGACGUCUCUAGAAGACAUCUGAAAGGGAUUAAAGAUUUAUCGGUGAUGGAUGGGGAUGCGUCUGAUUAGCUUGUUGGCGGGGUAACGGCCCACCAAGGCGACGAUCAGUAGGGGUUCUGAGAGGAAGGUCCCCCACAUUGGAACUGAGACACGGUCCAAACUCCUACGGGAGGCAGCAGUGAGGAAUAUUGGUCAAUGGACGAGAGUCUGAACCAGCCAAGUAGCGUGCAGGAAGACGGCCCUAUGGGUUGUAAACUGCUUUUAUAAGGGAAUAAAGUGAGUCUCGUGAGACUUUUUGCAUGUACCUUAUGAAUAAGGACCGGCUAAUUCCGUGCCAGCAGCCGCGGUAAUACGGAAGGUCCGGGCGUUAUCCGGAUUUAUUGGGUUUAAAGGGAGCGUAGGCCGGAGAUUAAGCGUGUUGUGAAAUGUAGACGCUCAACGUCUGCACUGCAGCGCGAACUGGUUUCCUUGAGUACGCACAAAGUGGGCGGAAUUCGUGGUGUAGCGGUGAAAUGCUUAGAUAUCACGAAGAACUCCGAUUGCGAAGGCAGCUCACUGGAGCGCAACUGACGCUGAAGCUCGAAAGUGCGGGUAUCGAACAGGAUUAGAUACCCUGGUAGUCCGCACGGUAAACGAUGGAUGCCCGCUGUUGGUCUGAAUAGGUCAGCGGCCAAGCGAAAGCAUUAAGCAUCCCACCUGGGGAGUACGCCGGCAACGGUGAAACUCAAAUGAAUUGACGGA